ACGCUGGAGAAGCUGUGAGAACCUGACAUAGUUGCUGGAUUGCCGUUUUUCUGCAUUGGCCUUUGCCGGAAAAGCUACGGUUUUGUUGGCUCUUGAUAAAACAUUAAUCCCCUUGACGAUCUGUUUGGUGACGGCC